GAAAGAGAGAGAGAGAAACAGAGAGCGAGAGAGAGAAUGAGAUUGUCCAGACAGACUGUUUUAACACUCUUGGUUUGACCACCAGAGGAGAAAGAAAACAGUUAUGAGCUGAACAGUAUGCCAGUGGAGUGGAGGACAGCACCAGGUAACCCAAUUGUGCUACCAGCAGGCAGAGAUGGAGGUUCAGUUCCUGAGAGAAGAGAAGAAGACCUGUACAGAGAAGGAAGCCCACAUGCUUGAGUUGAGGGGAAGGAUCGAACGAUCCGAAAUCAGAAGGAGAUGGACAGACGUCAAGUGUGCCUCUGGGAGGAGGAAAAGAAGAAGAGGAAUGGUGGAACGGAGAAGGACGAGAUGAUUGAACAAUUACAGUCUGAGACAGACAAUCUCAGAGCCCUUUUAAAAGACGAAAGGAGGAGAAGAAGAGUAGAAAGGGGUAUAAUGAAAGAGUGGAAGGCUGAGAUCCUGAGGGAGCCAGAGGAGCCAAAGAAUGGGAGGAGAACCAGAGAAAUAUGCAUGAGAUCAACAGACUCAAACAACUGCAGGAGCUGCUGAUGGUGGACCUACAACUGGCCCACGAGUAAUUUCUACAAGCAUAAACAUCAGAGGCAGCAUUGUUGUAACAUCACACAAAUUGCAACUGGAAUUUCAUUUAGCUUCAAUCAGAGAGAGAAGAUAAUAGAAGCAAACAAAACAGAUGAGAUUGCGGAAGAGGAAAGAAGGGAGAUCCUUGAGAAGUACAAGAGGGGUGAGUUAGAGAACACUGAAGAGGAGAAGGAAGAUGGCAAGGAGGACCUUGUCCCACCCUAUAAAAACAGCCGAAGGAGAGCUGUGGGCUGGGUGAAUAAGAAGUGGGAGAAGAGGAACCUCAAAAAGAUCGAGAGAACGUAUCAGAGAGAGGCUGAGGAGGGCUAUAAGAUCGUCCAUAUAGUCAUCCCUGUACACAAAGGGCUAACAUCUACCAUCACCCGGGCAGAGAGAGAGGGAGAAGAGGAAGGAGCUCCUGAAGGCUGAGGAGGGCUAUAAGAUCGUCCAUAUAGUCAUCCCUGUACACAAAGGGCUAACAUCUACCAUCACCCGGG
rnacentral:lncRNA from 1 species